rnacentral:rRNA from 1 species
UACGGAGGGGGCUAGCGUUGUUCGGAAUUACUGGGCGUAAAGCGCACGUAGGCGGCUUUGUAAGUUAGAGGUGAAAGCCCCGGGCUCAACCUGGGAAUGGCAUAGGAAACUGGCGGACUCGAGUGUGGCAGAGGGGGGUGGAAUUCCGCGUGUAGCAGUGAAAUGCGUAGAGAUGCGGAGGAACACCGAUGGCGAAGGCAGCCCCCUGGGCUAACACUGACGCUCAGGCACGAAAGCGUGGGGAGCAAACAGG